CGCCGUAUGCAAAUAUUCCUCCGCGCGGCAGGCGCCCUGCGUUCCUCCGCCUCCUUAAACGGGACGGGGCGCGGUGUAGUUCCUUCCGGGCGGGCCCGGGUUCCCGCUCCUGGGACCCUCCCCGGGUGGCACCGCAUCCGCGCGGGAGGCUGGGUGCCACGGCCGUCCCCGUCUCCGGCGCCCUCCCAGGUCCCUAGUUCCAUGGCGUCCGCCGCCGGCGGGUGCCUCCAGCCCUCCGUGCUCCGCUGGCGUGAGAAGCGCGCCUCGCGCGGCGUACCUCGCGGGGGCCCCUCGGCCUGGGAGCCGUUUCGCCGGCCCCGUUCGUGGUUGGGGCCUAAGCCUAACCGCUGCUCACGCCCGAGGUCCCAGUUGGAGGACGCUCCUGCGAAGAGAAAGACAUCCACUUUGGUUGGAAAAUAACCCCUACGCUGGGACUCUGGAGGCUGAUGGAGCUCCGUGUUCAACCGUGCCAUCGUCGGUCUUCAUGACUUCUGUGCAUUUUUUUCCGAAACAUUCUUUUUUGGGAAGCAUAAACGAAAUAAAUGACACAAGAAAAGAACCUGGUCUUUUGCAGUUUUGAGGGUCCUUCCUCCCAUCGAAUAAAGUCUCAAGUCCGUUUGCGGUAAUGAGAUCCAGCUGCUCUUGGAUGUCGGCUUGGCGUAUUGAAAACACCACCUUGUCAUCCGACACAGUGCCCCACCUUCUGCACGAGUCUGGUGGCUGCUUCAUGGCCUCACCUGCACGGUCUCUCUGUGCUCAGUAUUUCCUGGAGGCAAGAAGUGAGCUGGACAGCCUUGCUCUUGAGGGGGGUCUAGCCCAGCAGCCCAGGCCUCAGCUGGGAAACUGCAGGAAUGGCAGAACCUGGGGCUUCUCCUAGACCUGAACUGGAAUCUGUGUUAACAAGCAACUCCGGGCGGUUUAUAGGCACGCUCAAGGUUGAGAAGCCCUAGCCUAAAGGCUUCAUUCAAUACCGACUUAUAUUUUUAGGGGAAAUCCUUCUUUUUGUGGGGAUGUGGUUGCCGGAGUGGGGGACAGACCGGCAGAGCCCAACAUCAGAAAGUAACAUGUAUCUCCUCCUGGAAACCUACAAGCCACCUGCAGGGUGACACUUUGGCAUCACGAAAUCAUCCAGCACCUACCAGCUUUCACCCAGGGGUCUUAGCAUCUGAGGUCAGCCCUUGCCUGAAUCAGUGACUUCAUGUGGGGUUGCAGAAUGGAGAUAUCUAAUCCUGGUGCUUCUUCUCUUAGCUGGCAUCCUUGGGGAAAGAACAACUUUCCCCCUUUAGCUAGUGCCAUUUGGUGGCCCCCAAAUACACUUCCUAUGCAAGGAGAAAUGCUUGGUUCUGUCACUGAGUAACUCUACAGAAGGAGCUCACACAGGAGCCACCUCCAGUAAUGACAGUGUUGUAGCUUUCUUUAUUUUUGAGAAUAAAUACAGCU